rnacentral:piRNA from 1 species
UCAUGUAGGGUUCCAAAGCUGGCGU